AGAGUUUGAUCCUGGCUCAGGAUGAACGCUGGCGGCGUGCUUAACACAUGCAAGUCGAACGAAGCACUCUAUUUGAUUUCCUUCGGGAUUGAUUAUUUUGUGACUGAGUGGCGGACGGGUGAGUAACGCGUGGGUAACCUGCCUUGUACAGGGGGAUAACAGUUGGAAACGGCUGCUAAUACCGCAUAAGCGCACAGUACCGCAUGGUAUAGUGUGAAAAACUCCGGUGGUAUAAGAUGGACCCGCGUUUGAUUAGCUAGUUGGUGGGGCAACGGCCUACCAAGGCGACGAUCAAUAGCCGACCUGAGAGGGUGACCGGCCACAUUGGGACUGAGACACGGCCCAAACUCCUACGGGAGGCAGCAGUGGGGAAUAUUGCACAAUGGGCGAAAGCCUGAUGCAGCGACGCCGCGUGAGCGAAGAAGUAUUUCGGUAUGUAAAGCUCUAUCAGCAGGGAAGAUAAUGACGGUACCUGACUAAGAAGCACCGGCUAAAUACGUGCCAGCAGCCGCGGUAAUACGUAUGGUGCAAGCGUUAUCCGGAUUUACUGGGUGUAAAGGGAGCGCAGGCGGUGCGGCAAGUCUGAUGUGAAAGCCCGGGGCUCAACCCCGGUACUGCAUUGGAAACUGUCGUACUAGAGUGUCGGAGGGGUAAGCGGAAUUCCUAGUGUAGCGGUGAAAUGCGUAGAUAUUAGGAGGAACACCAGUGGCGAAGGCGGCUUACUGGGCGAUAACUGACGCUGAGGCUCGAAAGCGUGGGGAGCAAACAGGAUUAGAUACCCUGGUAGUCCACGCCGUAAACGAUGAGUACUAGGUGUCGGGAGGCAUUGCCUUUCGGUGCCGUCGCAAACGCAGUAAGUAUUCCACCUGGGGAGUACGUUCGCAAGAGUGAAACUCAAAGGAGUUGACGGGGACCCGCACAAGCGGUGGAGCAUGUGGUUUAAUUCGAAGCAACGCGAAGAACCUUACCAAGUCUUGGCAUCCUUCUGACCGGUACUUAAUCGUACCUUCUCUUCGGAGCAGGAGUGACAGGUGGUGCAUGGUUGUCGUCAGCUCGUGUCGUGAGAUGUUGGGUUAAGUCCCGCAACGAGCGCAACCCUUAUCUUUAGUAGCCAGCGGUUCGGCCGGGCACUCUAGAGAGACUGCCAGGGAUAACCUGGAGGAAGGCGGGGAUGACGUCAAAUCAUCAUGCCCCUUAUGACUUGGGCUACACACGUGCUACAAUGGCGUAAACAAAGGGAAGCAAAGCUGUGAAGCUGAGCAAAUCUCUAAAAUAACGUCUCAGUUCGGACUGUAGUCUGCAACCCGACUACACGAAGCUGGAAUCGCUAGUAAUCGCAGAUCAGAAUGCUGCGGUGAAUACGUUCCCGGGUCUUGUACACACCGCCC
rnacentral:rRNA from 1 species